GUAUUUUUCAUAGCUUUACUAAAAUUGGAACGAUACAGAGAAGAUUAGCAUGGCCCCUGCGCAAGGAUGACACACAUAGUAGUUUUUGUAGGUUUCA
rnacentral:snRNA from 1 species